UCAUAUCACGUAAAAGAAAAAGCCAUGUCCGGGAGUAUAAGUUCUUCCGGCAUGGCUUAUUUUUUGUAGCACAAGACCGGCAAGCGAAUGGAUGCUUGCAUACAAAUUCAUUUGCCGGUCGUAAGAACAUGGAGCACUAAGUGCGGAAUGUUCGUGUGCGA
rnacentral:misc_RNA from 1 species